rnacentral:rRNA from 1 species
CCUACGGGAGGCAGCAGUGAGGAAUAUUGGUCAAUGGGCGAGAGCCUGAACCAGCCACGUCGCGUGAAGGAUGACGGCCCUACGGGUUGUAAACUUCUUUUGUCAGGGAGCAAUAGGGUCCGCUCGUGGGCUUAGCGACAGUACCUGAAGAAAAGGCAUCGGCUAACUCCGUGCCAGAAGCCGCGGUAAUACGGGGGAUGCGAGGGUUAGCCGGAUUUAUUGGGUUUAAAGGAGGCGUAGGCGGAAUGUCAGGUCCGCGGUAAAAAUUCGGGGCUAAACCCGGUAGUGCGGUUGAAACUGAUGUUCUUGAGUGGGCGAGAGGUAUGCGGAAUGCGUGGUGUAGCGGUGAAAUGCAUAGAUAUCACGAAGAACUCCGAUUGCGAAGGCAGCAUACCGG